rnacentral:rRNA from 1 species
UAGGGAAUAUUGGACAAUGGGGGCAACCCUGAUCCAGCCAUGCCGCGUGAGUGAAGAAGGCCCUCGGGUUGUAAAGCUCUUUUGUCCGGAAAGAAAAGCAUUCGGUGAAUACCCGGAUGUUCUGACGGUACCGGAAGAAUAAGCACCGGCUAACUUCGUGCCAGCAGCCGCGGUAAUACGAAGGGUGCAAGCGUUACUCGGAAUUACUGGGCGUAAAGCGUGCGUAGGUGGUUGUUUAAGUCUGAUGUGAAAGCCCUGGGCUCAACCUGGGAAUGGCAUUGGAAACUGGGCAGCUAGAGUGCGGUAGAGGGUAGUGGAAUUCCCGGUGUAGCAGUGAAAUGCGUAGAGAUCGGGAGGAACAUCUGUGGCGAAGGCGGCCAUCUGGACCAGUACUGACGCUGAGGCACGAAAGCGUGGGGAGCAAACA